rnacentral:rRNA from 1 species
UGGGGAAUAUUGGACAAUGGGCGAAAGCCUGAUCCAGCCAUGCCGCGUGUGUGAAGAAGGUCUUCGGAUUGUAAAGCACUUUAAGUUGGGAGGAAGGGCAGUUACCUAAUACGUGAUUGUUUUGACGUUACCGACAGAAUAAGCACCGGCUAACUCUGUGCCAGCAGCCGCGGUAAUACAGAGGGUGCAAGCGUUAAUCGGAAUUACUGGGCGUAAAGCGCGCGUAGGUGGUUAGUUAAGUUGGAUGUGAAAUCCCCGGGNUCAACCUGGGAACUGCAUUCAAAACUGACUGACUAGAGUAUGGUAGAGGGUGUGGAAUUUCCUGUGUAGCGGUGAAAUGCGUAGAUAUAGGAAG